rnacentral:rRNA from 1 species
UACGGAGGGUGCAAGCGUUAUCCGGAUUCACUGGGUUUAAAGGGUGCGUAGGUGGGCUGGUAAGUCAGUGGUGAAAUCUCCAGGCUUAACUUGGAAACUGCCAUUGAUACUAUCAGUCUUGAAUACCGUGGAGGUCAGCGGAAUAUGUCAUGUAGCGGUGAAAUGCUUAGAUAUGGCAUAGAACACCAAUUGCGAAGGCAGCUGGCUACACGAAUAUUGACACUGAUGCACGAAAGCGUGGGGAUCAAACAGG